GUUGGCAACAUUUUCCCCUUUAAAAAAAAAAAAAGAGAGAGAGAGAGAAAACUUCUUUACAUAAUCUGUAUUAUCACAUACAUUUGUAAGCAAUAUAUAGUCCAUGACUUCAUAACAGCAGGUAAAGGAGACCUUUAAGAUCUGGUACUCUUUUGACAGCAACUCUUAAGACGCUUCUGUAUGUUGCAGGUAUGAAAUAUUCCUUUGAGGAAGCAGCGUGCUGCCCACUGGAGACUUUGUGUGUAAGUGAAAAUUGUGAGAUCUACUGGAGUAUGGGAAAGGAUGCCUUUAUGUUUCAAGUGGGCAGGAAGUUCAGAGAAGAAAGCAGGAGAGAAGAGAUUCAGGAUCGUAUCAGCUCUCCUAAGUAGCAGUUCACCAGCACAAUCAGUGGAUGUAUUACUCAUAGACAGCCUUGCAUGCAGGUAUGCCAAGAGGGAUCCCAGCUUGCACGAAAGCUACCACUCUAUCUGGGCCUCACAAAGAAUGUUUUGGCUUUGGGAUGAAGAAGUAUCUCAAAGAGAUGAGGGUCCUUCUGAAUCUGUGUUUUCCAAGCACCCAUUUCACUGCUGCUGUGAGGACACCUCGCCACUCUCAGCAUUGUGGGCGUUGUGCUUCUAAUUGGUAGAUUGUGAAGAAAAUGGCUGCUGCCGCAAUGGAGAAAACAUGGUGAUACACAGCAAAGUCAAAUUUAGGAGUUCCACAGGUGCAUGUGGACUUCCAAUGAAUGGAGCUACUCCGCAUCAUGGUCCUUCUGGAAUGGGGAAGCAUACCUGCUGGAGAGAAUGACAAUGCUAAUGCUGUGGACCUUGAUGCAGAAGUCACCACUGGCAUACUGGGAACAAGAGGAGAAUGCAGAAGAUGAAGGAAGUUCAGAUUUGGAAAAAUAACUGGCUAUGCAUUUUGAGGGAAAAGAAGUCUUGAAAAACAUAGAAAGGCUCACAUGUAAGUUAUGGUCAUGCAGCAAACUGAAAACUCCCUCAUGGACGUAUCAGUUGACUUACAAUAACUGGAGAUUAG
ensembl:lncRNA